ACCGUCAGGGAGGUCUCGCGGGGUCUGUUCUGCUCCAGCCUCCGGGGGUGUGGUCGUGGGGCACGUUUCUGUUGACCAAGAGGAGAUCCGAGCCUCCCCUCGUGGUGGCCCCGCAGGGACCGGUCCCCUGGAACAAGGGCCGAGGGCUGGGGCUGCUCCGGGCGGGACCGCCUGCCUCUCUGCACAGAGCUGAGUGCAGAGAUUAGACAGACCCCCAGAAACGCGGUAUCCUGGGCGGGGGGUGUGGGAAGCCCCUCUCCCGGGGCCGUUGGCAGCCGGUCACAGGGAGAAGGAGUGAGAUGCUCUAGGAGAAGCAACAAGGCCUGAGGUUCGCAGCCUUAGACAAUUGGAGGCCACGAUUUUCUUAGAGCUGCGUCCCAGCAUUGAUGUUGGCAGGAAGCUGAGUCCCGCCCUGGCUGGAGCAUCAGGGACUUUUCCAAUGAGUCAGCUGUUCGAAUCAGAUGACCAGAAUACUGGAGUUGCAACUUCAGCGUCAGUCCUUCCAACGAGUAUUCAGGGUGAUUUCCCUUAAGUUUGACUGGUUUGAUUUCCUUGUUGUUCAAGGGACUCUCAGGAGUCCAUAAUGGAUCAUACUCCAUAUAGAAAAAUUAUAAAAUAUUGGCUAUAUUCCCUAUGCUGUGCAUUGCAUCCCUGUUAGUUAUGUUUCAUAUCUGUUUCAUACCUUGAUUAUCUGUUAGUAGAAUUGAGUGUUGAUUCUGCCCCUGGAGGCUGGUUUGGAAUAUUUCAGGAAGUUCCUCGGGAGAAAAGUACCAUGUGGUACAGCUGGAAGCACUUCCCCAAAGAGCGUGUCCCCUCACUGUUGCAUAUUAACAACCACAAUGUACUAUAAUAGACAGUAAUAGGAAUAAUGGGAAUAAUGAAGAUUAACAAUAAUGAGGACCAUGAUGAAUGUUGGAGGGAGAUUGCUUAUUAUAUUAAUGAUGGUAAUAAACCUAUAGCAAAGGGGAUGAAGGGACAGGCUUCCCUGAGUGCGUGACAAGGUCGUGAUAUAAGUCCUCGGGGCAGCAGAGGUCUAGAUUUAACAGGGAAAUAUGUUCUGGGGCAAAGCCUAGGAGCAGGAAGAGAAAGGAAUCCAUGUCCACAGGAG
ensembl:lncRNA